UACGAAGGGUGCAAGCGUUAUUCGGAGUUAUUGGGCGUAAAGGGUGCGCAGGCGGUAUGCUAAGUCAACUGUUAAAUUUCCCAGCCUAACUGGGAUGCGGCAGUAGAUACUGGUGUGCUUGAGGGUGGAAGAGAGAAGUGGAAUUCUCGGAGUAGCGGUAAAAUGCGUAGAUCUCGAGAGGAACACCGAUGGCGAAGGCAGCUUCUUGGUCCACACCUGACGCUCAUGCACGAAAGCGUGGGGAGCAAAC
rnacentral:rRNA from 1 species